rnacentral:rRNA from 1 species
UACGUAGGGUGCAAGCGUUAAUCGGAAUUACUGGGCGUAAAGCGUGCGCAGGCGGUUUUGUAAGUCUGACGUGAAAUCCCCGGGCUUAACCUGGGAAUUGCGUUGGAGACUGCAAGGCUGGAGUCUGGCAGAGGGGGGUAGAAUUCCACGUGUAGCAGUGAAAUGCGUAGAGAUGGGGAGGAACACCGAUGGCGAAGGCAGCCCCCUGGGUCAAGACUGACGCUCAUGCACGAAAGCGUGGGGAGCAAACAGG